GACGAACGCUGGCGGCGUGCCUAAUACAUGCAAGUUGAGCGCUGAAGGUUGGUACUUGUACCAACUGGAUGAGCAGCGAACGGGUGAGUAACGCGUGGGGAAUCUGCCUUUGAGCGGGGGACAACAUUUGGAAACGAAUGCUAAUACCGCAUAAAAACUUUAAACACAAGUUUUAAGUUUGAAAGAUGCAAUUGCAUCACUCAAAGAUGAUCCCGCGUUGUAUUAGCUAGUUGGUGAGGUAAAGGCUCACCAAGGCGAUGAUACAUAGCCGACCUGAGAGGGGGAUCGGCCACAUUGGGACUGAGGCACGGCCCAAACUCCUACGGGAGGCAGCAGUAGGGAAUCUUCGGCAAUAGACGAAAGUCUGACCGAGCAACGCCGCGUGAGUGAAGAAGGUUUUCGGAUCGUAAAACUCUGUUGGUAGAGAAGAACGUUGGUGAGAGUGGAAAGCUCAUCAAGUGACGGUAACUACCCAGAAAGGGACGGCUAACUACGUG
rnacentral:rRNA from 1 species